CAAAGAAUUCUCUUUUUGGGCU
rnacentral:miRNA from 1 species